AGUUAAGUGACUAAGCGUACAAGGUGGAUGCCUUGGCAAUCAGAGGCGAAGAAGGACGUGCUAAUCUGCGAAAAGCUUGGAUGAGUCGAUAAGAGGCGUUUAAUCCAAGAUAUCCGAAUGGGGAAACCCAGUAGAUGAAGAAUCUACUAUCAACAAGUGAAUUCAUAGCUUGUUGAGGCAAACCGGGAGAACUGAAACAUCUAAGUACCCCGAGGAAAAGAAAUCAACCGAGAUUUCGUCAGUAGCGGCGAGCGAAAGCGAAAGAGCCAGUAAGUGAUAGCAGUAUAGUGAGGAGAAUGUGUUGGGAAGCACAAUCAAAGAGGGUGAUAAUCCCGUAUCUAAAAACCAUAUUGUGGUACUAAGCUAACGAGAAGUAGGGCGGGACACGUGAUAUCCUGUUUGAAGAAGGGGGGCCCAUCCUCCAAGGCUAAAUACUCCUGAUUGACCGAUAGUGAACCAGUACUGUGAAGGAAAGGCGAAAAGAACCCCGGUGAGGGGAGUGAAAUAGAACCUGAAACCUUGUACGUACAAGCCAGUGGGAGCCCCANNNNNCAUUCAUUCAUUAAUUAAUUAAUGAAUGGAAUGNNNNNACAGGCUGAUACCGCCCAAGAGUUCAUAUCGACGGCGGUGUUUGGCACCUCGAUGUCGGCUCAUCACAUCCUGGGGGCUGAAGUAGGUCCCAAGGGUAUGGCUGUUCGCCAUUUAAAGUGGUACGCGAGCUGGGUUUAGAACGUCGUGAGACAGUUCGGUCCCUAUCUGCCGUGGGCGUUGGAUGAUUGAUUGGGGCUGCUCCUAGUACGAGAGGACCGGAGUGGACGCAUCACUGGUGUUCCAGUUGUCUCGCCAGAGGCAUUGCUGGGUAGCUAAAUGCGGAAGAGAUAAGUGCUGAAAGCAUCUAAGCACGAAACUUGCCAAGAGAUGAGUCAUCCCUGACUUUAAGUCAGUAAGGGUUGUUGUAGACUACGACGUAGAUAGGUCUGGUGUGUAAGUGUAGUGAUACAUUGAGCUAACAGAUACUAAUUGCCCGAGAGGCUUAACU
rnacentral:rRNA from 1 species